UACAGAGGUGGCAAGCGUUGUUCGGAAUUACUGGGCGUAAAGGGCGCGUAGGCGGCCUUCUAAGUCAGACGUGAAAUCCCCAGGCUUAACUUGGGAACUGCGUCUGAUACUGGGAGGCUUGAGUGCGGGAGAGGGAUGUGGAAUUCCAGGUGUAGCGGUGAAAUGCGUAGAGAUCAGGAAGAACACCGGUGGCGAAAGCGCUCUGCUAGGCCGCAACUGACACUGAGGGACGAAAGCUAGGGGAGCGAAUGGG
rnacentral:rRNA from 1 species